CUUGAUGCUCGAUAUUACCUGAGCAUCCGCCCGAGAACUACGAGCACAAACGCUUAAAACUCUAAGGACUUGGCGGUGCUCCAAACCCACCUAGAGGAGCCUGUUCUGUAAUCGAUGAUCCACGAUAUUACCUGACCAUUCCUUGCACGAAACAGCCUAUAUACCGCCAUCUUCAGCAAAACAGA
rnacentral:rRNA from 1 species